GACAGAGGGUGCAAACGUUGUUCGGAAUUACUGGGCGUAAAGCGAGUGUAGGCGGUUUGGUAAGUCGGAUGUGAAAGCCCCGGGCUCAACCCGGGAAGUGCACUCGAUACUGCCAAGCUAGAGUAUCGGAGAGGUUGGUGAAAUUCUCGGUGUAGAGGUGAAAUUCGUAGAUAUCGAGAGGAACACCGGUGGCGAAGGCGGCCAACUGGACGAAUACUGACGCUGAGACUCGAAAGCGUGGGGAGCAAACAGG
rnacentral:rRNA from 1 species